CGAUUUCCGAAACAUCCGAGCGUUUCCCAGAUCCUGCCGAAGGUACGCAGCGAGUUGUCCUUGAUCACGAAGGUCGCCGGCUAAAGAAUGCGUAUCGCGUUAAAAAGGUCAUCGGCGUCGUCGAAAUGGAGGAUAUUCUCGAGGCUCUUGUUGAGCCUGGAGAACCUCUGGCCUACGUUGUACGUGGCGAUCGCGUACUGCACCUCUAUCAUGAUGAUGACUACGUACAUAAAGUAUAAAGGGAGGUAGUUGAUCGGCCCCUUGUCGUUCAUCAUCUUAUCCAUCUUCACUUGGUUCCACGUGUAAAUGUCGAGGCUGGAGAUGAGGAUGGAAUAGGAGAGGCUGCUCAGCGUCAUCAGAAUCGUGUAUUUCCGGAGCUUCCUCGGCGAGACGAUGCCCAUCUUCUCGUCGCACUUGGCGAGUGGUGAAACCGAACAGUGAAUGCAUCGUACAUCGGUUUCAAUGAAUAGCGAUGGCCUCAAAGUGUACGCUCGAAAUGUACGAAAAGAAUAUGCGAAUUGUCUUGAAUACUAUCCAAAAAGACUCGAAUGUUUGCACGAUCGUUUCGUACAAGUAAAAACUCGCAGGCCCAUCACUAUUGAUCAUAAUUAUCGCGGCAAUGAUCACUUGAGUGAGAGACUUACAUCGACCAGUUUAUCGAUAACGAUAUGCACGUACUUCCAUUGCAGAAUUGAACUGAUGACGGAGGCCGCCGUGAGACUCAUCACACCCAACACGUCGCUGCAGGUAACGAUCACCGCGUUUUGAGACUUUAAUCGGGUGCUGAACUCCCAUCCGUCUCUCAGGUCACGCCAGAAGCCCCAGAUUUCGGCUCCGAUCAAGGACAUUAACAGGCAUAUGCUAUGUACAUUUUUUCCUAUCUUUACUUAGAAAUACUAUUUCCUUUGAUUGAAUCAACUAAUCAAUUCUAAAUCAUAAGAUAAAAAUGUAUGUGUGUGUGUAUAUAUAUAUAUAUAUUCGCUUAUUUAACUUUUAAAUAUUUAAAUAAGAUUUUAUUUAAAAAAUUCAAGUAUCAGACAUGGGGGUGUCAGAUUUACAAAUUUGAAAAUCUAAAAUCUAAGAUCUUUGAAUUCCUACGCGUCUUUCUAGAAGCGAUGAUAAAAGUUUUGAGAUUGCGAAUACUUUUUUGGAUUACCUCUGUUAAUCAUUGCAACAAUUUGGUCGGUAUUCUAUAAUAAUAAUAAUGUUUAUUAAUGGGCAAACACCAUUUGACUACACAAGAGAAAGAAAAAGAGAAACAAGAAAUAAGAAAUAUUAUAUACAUAUUUAACAAUCAAGAAUGAAAUGAAUACUUAAUAUGCAGUUAAUAGCUACAAUAAAUUCAUCUAUACAUUCGUAUAUAAGUAACAAUAUAUUAGUAAGUAAGAAAAGGAAAAGUGCGAGACAAGAACACAAUGUAAAAGUGAAUAUAAGAAUAUAUGAAUACAGGAAACAUAAAUUAAUUAAUUAAAAUUAAAUCAAUAAAACAAUUGAAAUAAUUCUGACAGAAUAUAAUUUUACAAAAUAGAUGUUAAUUCAAGUGUCUAUGCGAGCGUUAAUGCAACAUAAUUUAUCUCUGUGCAGGUGUCCGUUGAGUUUUACUCAGUUUGCGCGUCAUCUUCACCUGUAAAUGCUGUCGAUAAUGCUCAAUCGUCCUUGAUAUCUGCCGGAUGCCUGUCGGACAAAUCUCAUUGGAAAUACACCGGACAGUUUGCUGAGGAAUCCGAUGUGAUGCGGAGAAACUAGAAGCAAUGCUUGAAUUCAGCGUGAGAAGUGCUGUCCGGCUUAUCCAGAAAUCGAAGUAAUUUUGUUAGACAAAAUGUUCAACGCGUAGCCUUCGACUUUGAGAACGCGUGCAGGACUGAAUCAGUCCCGAUGUCGUCGUCGUCGUCGUCGUCGUCGUCAAAGAGAGGUACUUGUGAAAAUGAAACGUUUGUGUAAACAUUAUAACUUCGAUCACUCAUGUAUUUCCCGCACACCCGAUCGAAUGUGGUGAUAAAGACUCGUAAUUGCACGGAAAGAGGGAGAGGUGCGCUGGUGGAAUGAUACGUAAGGGCUACUUUUUCCCUCGCUAUUCACAACACGGAGAGUAUAAAAUUGCUCUCGCUCACGCAUAACGUUUAAACCAAUUCACUUGUGACCGCAUUCGAUUUACAACUGCAGAGUGUUAUUUUUAUUCGAUUUUCCUCGAAAGAGAUGUGUGUAUUUAAUCUUAAAACCACUGCUAAGAUUCAAAUGUUUGAUGAUCCUGAUGAUUCACAUAAUCUAGGAUUUUUAUAUAUUUGUUCAUUUAUUUGCUAGAACAAUUAGUUUGACAGUAAUACUAGUGAUCAAAUUAAAUAUGAGAAUGUUAGGGAAAAUAUACAGGGUGUUAGAAAAGUCUGAAAACGGUCGAAUAUCUCGAAAACAAACUUUUAAAGAAAACUGUUUCAGAUAAAAGUUGUUUGGUUCGAAGGGAUCUAUAAAAAGGUAUAAUUGGUUUGAUUUUAAAUAGUCAUUUGAAGGUCAUAUAAAAGUUAUCUUAAAUUUUUUUAAUGAAACACCCCAUAUAUUAUUACAUAUUCUUAUA